GAGUUUGAUCAUGGCUCAGAUUGAACGCUGGCGGCAUGCCUUACACAUGCAAGUCGAACGGUAACAGGUCUUCGGAUGCUGACGAGUGGCGAACGGGUGAGUAAUACAUCGGAACGUGCCCGAUCGUGGGGGAUAACGAAGCGAAAGCUUUGCUAAUACCGCAUACGAUCUACGGGUGAAAGCAGGGGACCGCAAGGCCUUGCGCGAACGGAGCGGCCGAUGGCAGAUUAGGUAGUUGGUGGGAUAAAAGCUUACCAAGCCGACGAUCUGUAGCUGGUCUGAGAGGACGACCAGCCACACUGGGACUGAGGCACGGCCCAGACUCCUACGGGAGGCAGCAGUGGGGAAUUUUGGACAAUGGGCGAAAGCCUGAUCCAGCCAUGCCGCGUGCAGGAUGAAGGCC
rnacentral:rRNA from 1 species